ACGUGUUUUAUUACAUCGGUGGCCAACCUCAGAAGAAAGACGACAAACUCGCUCUCAGGAAAACUACAGCGAGCAUCAGAUGUGAAUCACACUAUUAAACAGGCCACGGAAAUACACACAUCAAACAUCCUCUUCAAACUAACCACGUGUUUUAUUACAUCGGUGGCCAACCUCAGAAGAAAGACGACAAACUCGCUCUCAGGAAAACUACAGCGAGCAUCAGAUGUGAAUCACACUAUUAAACAGGCCACGGAAAUACACACACCAAACA